rnacentral:rRNA from 1 species
AUCAGCAUGCCACGGUGAAUACGUUCCCGGGUCUUGUACACACCGCCCGUCACACCAUGGGAGCUGGUAACACCCGAAGUCAGUAGUCUAACCGCAAGGAGGACGCUGCCGAAGGUGGGAUUAGCGACUGGGGUGAAGUCGUAACAAGGUAGC